rfam:Cordyceps confragosa RCEF 1005 scaffold_9, whole genome shotgun sequence.
GGUGAGAUGGCCGAGUUGGUUAUGGCGCCAGGUUAAGGUCACCUUAAUAUGUUUCCUGGUGGAGCAAUCCUCAUGGGUUCGAAUCCCAUUCUCAUCA